AGGUGCGAUCAUACCAACACUAAUGCCCCGGAUCCCAUCAGAACUCUGCAGUUAAGCGUGCUUGGGCGAGAGUAGUACUAGCAUGGGUGACCUCCUGGGAAGUCCUCGUGUUGCACCUU
rfam:Cajanus cajan Scaffold126394_3, whole genome shotgun sequence.